GGUAGAGUUAACAGUAGCCCAAUAAGAGAAGAGGUGUGAACAUGCCGGAAUGUCUUCCAGAGUAAAGCAGUUGAAUGAAUUUUUCAUUUGGUUCUUAGAAGAACUACAACUGUACUUUGAAGAAGUAUGAAGGACUCUGAAGAACUGUGAAGGACUUCAUGCCUCUGUGGUUGGGUGGUCAAGGUCAUGAGAUACUCAGAGGAUCUCUGCAAGCAACUGCCUGCAGGAAAGCAGCUGCCUUCUUGGGAUUUGCUGAUUCAUUUUGACUUUUUUUUUUAGUUUUUCUCUAGCUUCACUUCCAGCUGUUGCAGACACAAGAGAUGAAUGUCUGUUUGAUCAAGAGGAAAGGAGUAAACUUUGUUCUCUCGUAUUAUUUCUCUGCAUUAGUGAAUGUGCUUGCUUCCUAAAUCCUCAUUAGCAAAGUAUCUUCUUAUGAAGAAAUCUGUUCUGUCCUUGCCACUGGAUCCAUCUCUAUAAAGACUCUAGCAAAAAGUUCUAUAGGCACAAUCUAAUAAUAUGCAAAAAUAAAUGCAUCUUAAAAAACA
ensembl:lncRNA novel transcript